GGCUCUUUGCUUCUGACAGUGGGGUGGGCUUCUCUCGCAAACAUCAAAUUAGCGUAGAAUGUGUGACGUCGGUAAACACCUAUGACGUAAAGGCCCCUGGCUUACACCCCCCCCCUUCUCCCCCGCCCCCCGCCCCAGCCUUUUUAUAGAUCCCUUUUUCUAAGAAGGAAAUCCUAAAAAAUGUUUCACUACAAGUAGCAAGGUAGUCUCUGUGCAGCAAUUCUGGCUUUUAAGUAAAAUAAGCAUCAAAUUAUGUGUAAAGAUUCCAAAGGUGCAUUUAAAAAAGCAUCCAUCUCCAAAACCGCAACUCAAUCGAGCCACGGUUUAAAAGCAGCUCUUGGCCUGAGGAUGACAAGGUGAGCCCUCAAAAGAAGAAAAUCAGUCCUGAAGGGGCUCUGAGCUUUCUUUUUACAUGUGCUUACAGAAACUACCUCUGCUUUCUGAAGCAUUUCUUAAUAUUUUUUCAGAAACCUGACCUUUCAGGAAGCAGCUACUUCCUGAAUAAUGUUUAAGUAGCACUCAUAUUCUAAUUCUGUAGGUUACCUGUAUGGUAUCACCUAAAAGCAUUCCUCAGAAAGAAAACAAUCUCUCACACAGUUCACUUAUGCAUAUUUGCAAAGGCUUUGGAUACUAAGAAUUUGAAUGCUUAUCUGUCAUAAGAGAAUGAGGGAUUGUGUUCUAACAAUACCACCUUGUCCAUGCUUCAUCUUCCAUUAAACAUGACCAAGUAAAAGGCUGACACAUCUGCUUCUUGUUCUUACAGAAGAAAAAAAACCUGUAAAAAUGUAGAACUCUUAUUUAUAAAGUGUUUCUCUUAUUUAUAAAAUGUUUUAUCUUUAACUUUUUACUGGAAGAAAUGGGCGAGCGCAUCAGUGACCUUGAGAAGCGUGUUGCUGACCUGAUGACAGAGGCUGGGGUAGAAAACAGUGAUGAAGAAUUGGGAACAAAGAACGUGACCACUUUUACAAAAGAAAAACUGCAUCUUGCUGCCUCUGUUCCAGCUGAGUGCAAUAUACAAGGGGGCAGUGCUAACUCACCCCAAGUGUGUAAACCGAGGCUGUCCAUUCAUAGGGAAAUAUGUGUGGCUUGAAGUGUUCCUGCCCACCAUUCCUGCCCCUCAGCACUGAAAUGAGGAUGUGUUUGAGGAAGAUUAAGGGCAGAACAGCAUAGCACUGACUCCGACAUUUUCCAGUCUAGAUUCACACUGACAAAAAAUGUAAAGGGAAAACAAAUGUGUUUGUAUCAUGUCAUAACAGAACCUUGAAAAUAAAAAUUUUAACUAUUGCCCCAGGAAAAAAACAGAAAGCUGAGUUUGUUCCUCUAAAUGGGGCACUGUAUUUCCUGAAGCUGAAAAAGAAUUGUUAGUUUCAGAGAAGGCAAAGCCACUGUUUUGGGUAGAAAACUAUAUUCUAUAUAGUGAACUUACCCAAUCACAAAUGUUUUCAAUGAAUGAAAAUGUGUUUAUUUUAAUAUUAAAACAGUAAGAUUUGUUGUCUUUUUAACUUGUAUGUUCUCAGAAUAAACCAUUCUGUACUAAAAAUAAAUGGCAGUAUUUGUAGUCUACAACUGCUCGGUUGUUACUCUUUGCAUAAGCCCACCCAAAGCUGUACACACCAGUGCAGGUAACAUCACCCAGGUAUUCAUACUGUGACAAUUUCAAUUCUUUAAUGUUAGCUGUUUUGAUGAAAACAGUUUCUUUUAUUUAAAGACCUGGAGACAGAUGAGGAAUUCUAGUUACCAGGCAUGUCCAGAAGAAGAAAUUGGUUGUCAGAGAACAGGACAUCUGCAUUAAAUUUAAGGUGGUUGUACACCAAAACAUUGGUACUCUGCAGGGAAGAUUGAGUUUGAAAUGUAAUGGGAACCUUUUACCAGAACUGCAGAAACUGAAGCAUUGCCAGGUUAACAGAAUACCUCAGCUAAUGAGGGAAAAAUGCUUCUAUUACAGCCUUCAUUAAUAUCAAGAAAUCCUUCCAAUUAAUGCUUUAAUCAGUGUAGACUUGCACGUACUGUCAGACUGCGGGGAGUGGUUGGUAUGCUGGAGGACAGGCUGGAGAAGUGGGCCAACAGGACCUUGCUGAAGCUCAAAACACCAAAGCUGGGCAGGUGUAAGGGGCUGGCUAGCACUGCUUUGCAGGAAAGGGUCUGGAGGAAAGGUUGGCUGAGUGAGCAGGGUGCCCAGGGAGCAAGGGCUGCAGCAACCCACUGGCCAGUAUUAGCACAAAGUAGGGCCAGCAAGUCAUUCCCCCUCCCUUCACCUCGCUGGGAGACCACACCCACAAUAUUCGGUCUGUUUGGGAGCUGCCCAGUUCAAGAGAUGGAGUGGUGUGAGGGAGGUGAAACAGAACCACCAAGAUAGAGUGGAGAACAGCAGAUACAAAGUUUGAGAGCAGUCUCUUAGUCCAGCCAAAAGCCUCUUGCUGCCAACCACAACCCUGUGGCAGAGCAUGGGGAACAAACUCUUGUUGAAGGUGUUGUACACCAGGGUUACUCAACACAAGCUGAAACAUGGAAAAUUCCAGCUAGAUGCAAGGAACACCUUUUUCAACUAUGAAGGUGCUCAAACAGCAGAACAGGCCUUCCAGAAAGGCUGAAGAAACUCCAUCCUUAGAGAACAUGGAAUCAUCAAGGUUGGAAGACAUCUUGGAGAUCAUCUAGCCCAACCAAAAUACUCAACAAUGGACAUGAUCCUGGGCAACCUGACCAUGUGAAACCUACUAUGACUGAGAGGCUGACAUUCCCUGCCAACAUAAAUUAUUCCAAAAUCAAUAACCACUCUAAACCAGAUUAACUUCAGCAGAAAUUGAGACCCUUUUGUUUUACUUUUUUUCACACUUUCUAAAUCCUCUGCAACGCACUUGGUAGUACAAGUAAAUUCUUUGUCUUGUAACAAACUGGAUUUCUUCUUUCUGGAGAAGGGAGCUAGCCUGGUUUGGCUUUAAUUAAUCCUGUAAAUAAGCAUUUAUCAGUUUAAAAAACAAACAAGCCCCCAUACAACAUUAACUCCAUUAACAUAAAAGUUGUCAGAAAUGCAAAUGGAAAAUUUCAAAAGCUAUGCCACAGUGGAAUCCAAUCCAAGUCUCCCAGGAACAUGUGCAUUUUGGUAUACUAUUAGGCAAACUGGAGGUCAAGUGACAGCACGGCUUUUCAUUUCCUCAACUGCUGUGUGCAGCCAGCUCCAAAAGUGCAAUUGUGCUUUGGCACUGCAGAAUUCACCAAGUGCUUCAAAGUGAGUACCCAGCCACCGCGGAAUAGGAGUCUGGCAACACAGGUCCAUUAGGCUGAUGGGGGUGUGGUGGUGAGCAAAGUCAUGGGAGAUGUUUCUCUGAGUUUUGUUUAAUACUAAUAAAUGCACCUUUUUUUAUUCAU